rfam:Pseudomonadales bacterium RIFCSPHIGHO2_02_FTLL_60_43 rifcsphigho2_02_scaffold_104, whole genome shotgun sequence.
CUAGAGUGCGCCCGUCGUGGUCAAUCCCGCGACCGGGUGUGACAACCUGAACC